UUAGGAAUCUUGCGCAAUGGACGAAAGUCUGACGCAGCGACGCCGCGUGCGGGAUGAAGGCCCUCGGGUUGUAAACCGCUUUCAGCAGGGACGAAAUUGACGGUACCUGCAGAAGAAGCCCCGGCCAACUACGUGCCAGCAGCCGCGGUAAUACGUAGGGGGCAAGCGUUGUCCGGAUUUAUUGGGCGUAAAGAGCUCGUAGGUGGUUCGGUAAGUCGGAUGUGAAAUCUCCAGGCUCAACCUGGAGGGGUCAUUCGAUACUGCCGUGACUAGAGGUCGGUAGGGGAGUGUGGAAUUCCUGGUGGAGCGGUGAAAUGCGCAGAUAUCAGGAGGAACACCCGUAGCGAAGGCGGCACUCUGGGCCGAUACUGACACUGAGGAGCGAAAGCGUGGGGAGCGAACAGGAUUAGAUACCCCCGUAGUCC
rnacentral:rRNA from 1 species